UGGUGAGUGUGUGUCUAGUGUGUGUGUGUGUAUAGUGCAGUGUAUGAAUGUGGUCUUUUAGGAGUCCAAUAGUAAGCAGUGAUUCCAUACAACAUAGAGUUAAAUUAACUCAGUCAAACGACAGUAAUCGUAGUGAGAGGUUGUCUUUAUGAUAAAUAACGGCGCGUUGGUUUAAAAAUUGUAUACAAAAUAAAUAAAUUGAGCAAAAAAGAGUGUUUAAAAAAAUGCAUUAAUUUACAACAACAACAUUUACAAAAAGUGCAGUUUAAAGAAAAAGUGAGAAUAAAAACAUAAAUUAAAAAGAAAACAAAGUAAAAUCUUUAAAACGCAUAAAGAAACUUAAAGCAGUCAAUAGAAAAUAACUAAAACUCUUUAAUGCUGAAGGUGAAAUAUUAAAAUUAGAAAAAAUCUAUAGAAUUUUUAAAGAAAAUUGGUAAUUUUUUACAAAAAUCUUAGAAAAAAGACCCCCCGUUUUGUAAAAAAAAUAAUUGUUGUGUUUCCAUUUUGUUAAAUGAAAAACUCUCAUUAAGAUUGUUUUGAAUAAAUAUUACACAGAAAAGAGAGAAAAAGAGAGAGCAUUUAAUAUAUAUAUCGUAAGAAAAAGAGGGGAGAAUAAAAAGUGUUGUUUUCAAUUAAAUUGUUAGUGUAAAGUUUAUGCUGCAAAGUCUUACACACACACACACACGCGUAAAAACUUAACACUCACCUCUAUAAGAAAAAAAUUUAAACGAAUGAAAUACCUAAUUGAAAAACCGGUUACUUUAGCUUAAAGUAGUGGCUGCUCCUCUAAAAAAAAACCAAAAACAACAACAACACCAAUAAUUUUAUGUUGUGUACAUAUUUUUUUGUUGUUGCUGCUGCUGUAGUUUUCGCCUUUUAACUACAAUAAUCACGAUCAUAACAACGAAAACGAAAAAUAUAUAAUUUUUUUUGUUAUUUGGUUUUAUUUUCUUGUUCAUAAAUUCCAUUAAGCCAAACAAACGAACCGUCGACAAAAACCAACAACAACCAUACGUUAAAUAUAUUUGAAAAAAAAAAUAUAUUCAAUUUAUGUAAAAAACAACAACAAAAAUACCUUAAAAAAUACUUGUGGCCCUUACGGCGAAAUAACAAAAACAAAUGUUGUAAACCAAAAAAAUUCAACAUUUAUAAAAAAAAAAACUAAAAAAAGAAAUUUUUGUUAAAAAAAUAUAUAAUUUAUGUCAUUGUUUUACAACAAGUGUUUUAAAUAAAAGAUAUUACUUUUUUAAAGUUGCAUCAAUUUUUGGUAAAAAAAAAAUCAUCAUAUCAAAGUGGAGUAGCGUUUUUUUUGGAAAUAAACCUAUUUGAAAGGACUAAAUCAGUAGUUUUUGGUAAUUAUACUUUCUAACCAGGCGUUGUUUUAAUUAAUAUGUAGCAGCCACUUUUUUUCAUUUGAAAAUUUAUUAUUAAUACUUGUUAGUAAGUGUAAGUGACUUCUAAAAAAAAACUAUAUAAAAAAUUGUAAUUUAUAGACUUAUUUCAAUAUCACGUUUAAACUAUUAAUUAUUUUAGUUUUUAUAUUCUUGUAAUUAUUUUAAUUUAUGAUAAAAUUUUUAUAGAAUUUGUUUUAUUCUUAUAAAUAAAUUGUAGAAGGGGAUUAAAAAAAUAUUUUUAAAAAAUAGGUGUUUUAGCUGCUUUUCCCAAUAAGUUAAUGCAUACAAAAAAGCCACAGAUUUCCAUUUGCGUCCAACCAUCUGGUAGGAUCUAUUACUUCUUUCGAAAAAUACAGUGAUUUUCAUUUCUGUCUAACCAUCUGCUUGGAUUUAUUACGUUUUUUCGUAACGGAUGUACUCUUCGUAAAAGACGAUGAAGACAAUUGUCACUUUAGUGUACCCUUUGUAAGCGAGAGAGUAGACACUUAUAAAACAAACUUAGAUUUUUGCCAUAUCUUCGUAUUCUAUAGGGUAAUCCCAAAGGAAAGCGAUUUUGGGUUUAAAUCACAGUCACUAUGUGAAUAUCGAAGGAACCUUAAUGAGCCAGGACAUGGACCUGCUCGCAACUGGCCAACCGUAGUACCAGAUUAUGCGGUAUUCUGGUACGUCGCCAUAUCAAAUCAAUCCAUAGUCCUGGCAGACUAAAGGUACUAAAAGCACCUCCUUUUCCUGGAAUAGCAAUAACAGAUAGGGUAACAUGCCCCCGAUAGAAAUAUACAAUUUUUAAGGAAAUGUGUCCUCUAUACCAAAUUUUUCAGAAAUCAGAACUCUCUAGCCAUUUUUCUUUUAAAAAAUGACUUUAGUAGAUAUCUUUCUAUUAAAAAUUUCUUCUUAGUUUUCCGCAGUAAAGUGUCUUUAUCAAAUACAUUAACUUGGCAGCACUAAAGAGUGGUUAUUAUAGAAAAUGUCAAUUUGUUAUAGGAAAGUGUUUCCAAUAAACGGUUUUUAUUAAAAACAAAGUUUUCUGUGGAAGUAAGUAUUUAGAAAAAUUCUUCUUUAGUAAUUUUUCUAUAAAAACAAGUCUCCUCUAACUAGUUUUCUGUUAAAAAGUUUCUUCACUACACAAUUUUCUACAAAUAGUUCAACAAUUUAUAACACUAACUUGGCAGCACUAACGAGAAAACGUCACUUUUCUAUAGAAAUAAGUAUUUCCUAAACAGUUUUCUUUAAAAAAUUAUCAAUUCUUUAUAAGGGAGACUUGCCUAUAUAGUUUUCUUUAGAAAAGUGUUUUCUUCUUCCUUAAAGUUUAAUAAAAAUAAUCUUCUUCUAGUCAUAUUUUUAUAUAAUAUUUACUCUCUAAAUAAUUUUUAUAUAAAAAAGAGACUUUACUAGAUAGUUUUCGAUUUACAAAACAGCAUUUAAUAACAACUAACUUGGCAGCACUAAAGUGUGGAUAUCAUAGAUAAUGUUACCUUUCUAUAGAAAAAAAGAGAGAUAAAGAGUUUUUUGAAAUAAAAAUGUGUUUUCACCAACAAGUUUUAAGUAUUUUCUACACAGUUUUCUUUAGAAAGCUGUUCUUUCUAUUUAAAGGAAACUUUUCUAAAUAGUUUUCUUUAAAAACAUGUCGUCUAUAGAAGUUUUCAUUUAGUUUUUUUUAAACCUUAUGGUAAAGUACUACUCUAGUGUUUUUUCUAUCAAAUAUUUCCUCUCUAAACAGUUUUAUAUAUGUUUUCUUUAUAGAAACAAAUCUCCUCUAAGCAGUUUUAUUUUUCUUUCUUCGCCAUAUGAUUUUCCAUGAAAAUUUGCUCUUCUAGGUAACAGAGAUACAAGUCGAUGCAAAAUGAUCGGCGGCGGCACAAUCAUUUUCGGUCGGCGGCUAAUUUUAACUUUUUCUUCGUAAAUUGAUCUAUAAGCGUUUAUUAUGCUAAAAAAUCUCUCUAUAAUAGUUUUUUAUAAAGAAACCUGUCUCUAUAUAAGUAUUUCUGCAGAAAAAGAACAUUAUUUUCACAAUUUUUAUAUUAGCACAAUAUUUUGUGUGGCAACUCUUUUCAAUUUGACAUAAUUUUCGAUUUACAAGGCAUAUAAUAGUUUUUUAUAAAGAAACCUGUCUCUAUAUAAGUAUUUCUGCAGAAGAAGAACAUUAUUUUCACAAUUUUUAUAUUAGCACAAUAUUUUGUGUGGCAACUCUUUUCAAUUUGACAUAAUUUUCGAUUUACAAGGCAAUAUUUACUAGCACUAACUUGGUAACACUAAUGAGUGGGCAUUAUAACAACAUACAGUGAUGCCAUUUAUAAGGAUAAAGCGAUUUUUGUUAAUAAAUAAAAGUAUAGAUUUAAGCCCUAAUGCAAAAACAGUUAUCAAAUGAAAAAUUGUUUUUUAAACCUUUAAUAAAUGCUUAUGAAUAAGGUAGUAAAUAAAUUUAAUACUUUCAGCAAUAACUCAAAAAUAUUUUAAAUUUCUUAAAUAUUAAUUACUUCAGUAAUAUUUUUUUCGUCGUUUUUUUUUUUUUUUGCGUUUGUGCACAAAAUUUUUAAAGCAACUUGUUACGCUUGAGUUACGAGCAGUUUUAGGUUGUCACAGCUUGAUUGCAAAUUACGUUUAUUUUAUGUAUUUUUUUGCCUCUCUUCCACUACUAUUAUUAUUAUUUAACAAAAAAUAGCUUAUUUUUUCCUUAUUUUAAGUUGAAUAUAUAUUAUUUGAUUUGAAAGCUUAUUUAAUUUUGUUGUAUUGUUAAAUGUAUUAAAUUUAAUAGGAAAAUUGCAAUAGAAAAAAAAUACUAAAUUAUAGCAUUAUGUAGAAAUAAACAGGAAAAGUUAUUGCGCAAUCCAAAAUAAUCCAAGAGCAAAAUGAAAGUAUAUACAAAAAAAUAUAUAUAAACUAAUUUGAAAGUAUUUGGCAAAAACUGAAAAAAUAAACAAAUUUGCAAUUGAAAUGGUUUCAAUUGCUAGGAAAUCAUAUUAUAGAAAUAACAAAAACAAUUGCAAAAUAUUUAUAUUUAACACCAAAAAGUUGAUGAAAUAAAAUCGUGAAACUUUUAACGAAAAAGUAAAUCUUAAAAAGCAUUUUUAAUAGUUAAAACACAAACAAUUUUAUUGCAAAACUAAGCUGGCAGAAGAAAUUUGAAUUUGUUUAUUUUAUAAAGAAGUGGUAACACUAAUCCUUUAAUGUGAAGUAAAAGUGCUGCCAAGUAGUUGAAAUAAAGGGUGGCAUGUUUUGUGUUGGAAAGUUUUCUUAAACAAGUGAUUUGGAAAGCAGCUAAACUAUUAAAGAGAUUAGUUUAAGGAUUUUUUUAUAACUAAAGAAUUAAAUGUAAAACUAAUUAUAUCAUCAUUUAGUCUAUUAUCUUAAUUAAUAGUUUUUCUAUUUAAAAAGCACGUGUUUUUUUAUAAUUUGUUUAUUAUUUAUUUUUCUACUUCUUUUGUUUGUUUGUUUUUAACAAAUAUUUUAUAAUUUUUAUUUUUUUUUAAUAAUUUAUACAACUAUAAAUUAAGUUUUUAUAAGAUUUUUUUGGCAUAAAUUAAAAAUGUGGUUUCUAGACAACAUCGUCAUAUAAAAUUUAAAUUUUAUUGUUAAUUCUUUGGAAAUUUAUAGCACAACAUGA